rnacentral:rRNA from 1 species
UGGGGAAUAUUGGACAAUGGGCGCAAGCCUGAUCCAGCCAUGCCGCGUGAGUGAUGAAGGCCCUAGGGUUGUAAAGCUCUUUCACCGGUGAAGAUAAUGACGGUAACCGGAGAAGAAGCCCCGGCUAACUUCGUGCCAGCAGCCGCGGUAAUACGAAGGGGGCUAGCGUUGUUCGGAUUUACUGGGCGUAAAGCGCACGUAGGCGGACUUUUAAGUCAGGGGUGAAAUCCCGGGGCUCAACCCCGGAACUGCCUUUGAUACUGGAAGUCUUGAGUAUGGUAGAGGUGAGUGGAAUUCCGAGUGUAGAGGUGAAAUUCGUAGAUAUUCAGAGGAACACCAGUGGCGAAGGCGGCUCACUGGACCAUUACUGACGCUGAGGUGCGAAAGCGUGGGGAGCAAACAGG